rnacentral:rRNA from 1 species
GAUGAACGCUGGCGGCGUGCCUAAUACAUGCAAGUCGAGCGAACAGACGAGGAGCUUGCUCCUCUGACGUUAGCGGCGGACGGGUGAGUAACACGUGGAUAACCUACCUAUAAGACUGGGAUAACUUCGGGAAACCGGAGCUAAUACCGGAUAAUAUAUUGAACCGCAUGGUUCAAUAGUGAAAGACGGUUUUGCUGUCACUUAUAGAUGGAUCCGCGCCGCAUUAGCUAGUUGGUAAGGUAACGGCUUACCAAGGCAACGAUGCGUAGCCGACCUGAGAUGGUGAUCGGCCACACUGGAACUGAGACACGGUCCAGACUCCUACGGGAGGCAGCAGUAGGGAAUCUUCCGCAAUGGGCGAAAGCCUGACGGAGCAACGCCGCGUGAGUGAUGAAGGUCUUCGGAUCGUAAAACUCUGUUAUUAGGGAAGAACAAAUGUGUAAGUAACUAUGCACGUCUUGACGGUACCUAAUCAGAAAGCCACGGCUAACUACGUG